GUCUUAAUCAAAAAUUAUUUAUAUCACACCACCUCUUCCAAAACAAAGGAGAAAAAUGAAUAAAGACAAAAAAUAAGGUAAAGAGAUGGAGAAAAUAAUAGAGUAUAUAGGUGCAGUGUCGGAUUGAAACAGCAGUGGGUUACGCAAUCACAGCAGGCGUAUAUUAGCAGCAACAAUAUAUCACUCCAUUCGUUUCUUCUUUUCUACAAGUUUUAAUCAUUCGUAUGAUAUUUCUAGCGUUGCGGUUGAGCUCAGUUGUGGUAUGUGGGGACACUUGCGUGAUUCAUCCUCAAUGUAUAAGCGCAUGACAUCCAGGGAUUCCAUGAAUGCUGAUUUGGAAUCCGAUUCAGAUCUUCUUCCGAAUAGUGUAGAGAAAGAGAUGACAAAUCCCUCUUGGAAGUAUUCGUGUCCACAUGUACUCGUGGCAACAAUAGUUGCAUUUCUGUUUGGCUAUCAUCUUGGGGUAGUGAAUGAACCACUUGAAAGUAUUUCAGUUGAUCUUGGCUUCAGUGGGGAUACAUUGGCGGAAGGUUUGGUGGUAAGUACUUGUCUGGCGGCUGCCUUUGCUGGAUCGUUGAUUAGUGGUUGGAUUGCUGAUGGAGUAGGCCGUCGUCGAGCCUUUCAGUUGUGCUCAUUGCCUAUGCUUAUGGGUGCUUCUUUAUGUGCAACAGCCAAAACUCUAGCAGGCAUGCUUGCUGGAAGAUUUUUAGUUGGAUUAGGAUUGGGUGUGGGUCCUCCGGUUGCUUCUCUUUACGUUGCAGAGGUUUCUCCCCCUCAUGUGAGGGGUACUUAUGGGAGUUUGAUUCAAAUAGCAACAUGUCUUGGGCUGAUGGCAGCUCUUGUUAUAGGGAUCCCCGUCAAGAAUAUAGUGGGUUGGUGGCGUGUAUGUUUUUGGGUGUCUACUGUUCCUGCUGCAAUACUUGCACUUGCUAUGAUGUUUUGUGUUGAAUCCCCUCAUUGGCUAUAUAAGCAAGGAAAACUUGCUGAGGCUGAAUUGGAGUUUGAGAGGCUUCUAGGAAGUUCACAUGUUAAGAGUGCAAUGCUGGAGCUUUCAAAGUCGGAUAGAGGGGAUGAGACUGAAAGUAUUAAGAUCUCUGAAUUGUUCCAUGGUCGGCAUUCUAGAGUUGUUUUUAUUGGGGCAACCCUAUUUGCUUUACAACAGCUAUCUGGAAUAAAUGCUGUGUUUUAUUUCUCUUCAACUGUAUUUAGACGUGCGGGAGUAUCCUCGAACCUGGCAAAUGUUUUUAUUGGGAUUGCAAACUUGACAGGGUCAAUUGUGGCCUUGGUUCUGAUGGACAAAUUAGGAAGGAAAGUCCUCCUUCAUUGGAGCUUCUUUGGAAUGGCUUUGUCCAUGGCCCUUCAAGUGUUUGCUUCAAGUGGGAUUGCAUCAAAUUAUGGAGCUUUUUACUUCUCUGUUGGUGGCAUGCUGCUGUUUGUCUUGACAUUUGCUGUUGGAGCUGGUCCAGUUCCUGGUCUCCUCCUCCCAGAAAUAUUUCCCAGUCGGAUCAGGGCUAAAGCUAUGGCAUUUUGUAUGUCAGUUCACUGGGUGGUUAACUUUUUUGUUGGCCUGAUGUUCUUGCGCUUGCUAGACCAACUUGGGCCACACAUAUUAUACUCCAUAUUUGGCACUUUCUGCGUGAUGGCCGUGAUAUUUGUAAAGAGGAAUGUGAUGGAAACAAAGGGAAAAUCACUUCAAGAAAUUGAGAUUGCCCUUCUUCCACAAGAAUAAACAAUUCAAGGGUUCUUCAAGGUCAAGCCUCCAUUCUUUUCAAUUUAGGGCUCAUCAAGGUCAAGGUCCGAGCACUAGCUACCAAUAUUUUAGAUCAAGCCAACAACAGUCUGAUUCAGAGAAGAGGAUAAGCACAUGGCGUUCUGUACUUCACCUGUCUCCUUCUAUAUAUAGUUUCUAGUCUUUUACUUUUUUAGAUAAGUCUUUGUUUCUAUGGUCCACUUUUGGGGCUUGGUUUCAUUUUGUAGUGGCUCUGUACAUGUGAAUUCCAGGUUAUGGGAGAGACCCCUUAUUUGUAUGUAUAUUUUGUCUUGUUUCCACUUAUUUCUGUAAUUUGAUCAUUCUGGUUUA